UUAAAUACUAACAAUUAUUAUUAUUUUUAUAUUAAAUUCAGUGACGGUUUUCCGGCGAGCUGUUCUGCCGAAAACCUAAUGAUGGUAGAGAACGACGGGCUUAGGAAUCAUCCUUCGACUGAAGGAUCUUUGAAUCUGGUCGUUCACCGGCUUCCAUGGCUGAUGCGUACGUAGACAUGUCCGGGGAAGACGAAUCCGAGUCUCAAUCCCGGCACGCUCGCCGCCGGAGGAUAGAGGUGAGGAGGAGUGCAACGUUUCCUGGCGAGGCGUCGACGUCGGCAGAGAGCCUUCUGCGGGCGGGAAAUAGGGAAGAUACUAGUAAUUCGGAGGUUUCAGGUGAUGAAAAGCGAAGAUCGACGGACAGCACAAACCUACCAUCCCUGGCACCUGCGCGAUUUUCCUUCGCCGACUCACUGUCGGUCUCCACAUCUUCUUCUGGCGAUGCUGUUGAUUCAACGGUUAUCGCGUCAUCGUCAGGCCGAAAGGUGGCAGUGAAUACCCCUAUUGCUUUCGGCUCUGUGUCACUGACAGGUCGCGCGAGGGAAAUGGAGGACGCAAUAUCCGUCCGACCCGGAUUCGUCCAGUUCCCGGAUGGCUGUUCUCCACUCCAUUUCUUCGGUGUCUUCGAUGGCCACGGAGGCUCUCACGUCUCGGCGCUGUGCAAGGAGAGGAUGCACUCUCUUCUCGCAGAAGAGUUAAUGAGAGUGCCGGCGCCUGAUGAACCUGUUGUGGCAGAGGAGACUAGGUGGAGAUCGGCGGUGGAGCGAUGCUUCGUGCGAAUGGAUCAGCUGGCUCUUUCAGCAUGCGCGUGCGGGCGGGUCGGUGAACCGCUUUGCCGGUGCGAUCGUUCCGGGAUCGAGUCGGAAAUCGUCGGCUCAACCGCCGUCGUCGCUGUAGUGGGCGGCGGCCGACUCCUCGUUGCUAACUGCGGCGAUUCGCGGGCGGUGCUCAGUCGCGGUGGCCGGACGGUGCCGCUCUCCAUCGACCAGAAGCCGGAUCGACCGGAUGAGCUGGCGAGAAUUGAAGCAGCAGGUGGGCGGGUGAUCUACGUGAAUGGUGCUCGGGUGCACGGAAUCCUGGCCAUGUCGCGAGCAUUAGGCGACAAGUACCUGAAACCAGUAGUAAUAUCUGCACCAGAGAUUGUUAUUUUAGAAAUAACACCUGAAGACGAAUGCUUGAUAAUCGCAAGUGAUGGGCUAUGGGACGUAAUUCCCAAUGAGCUUGCCUGCAACGUAGCAAGGCGUUGCUUGGCGGAGGGAAGUCCAAAGUUGGCUGAAAAAGAUCUCAACAACCCAACUUCCGCCGGAGAAGAAGCUCCGAUCAGUAAUGAAAAGGACCAGGCAGCACCCGAAGCUUGGUGCUCCAUGGCCGCUGCUUUACUUGCAAGGCUUGCGCUGGGAAGGAGAAGCACUGAUAACAUCAGUGUCAUUGUGGUUGAUUUGCGAAGAGGCUAACUGUUCUGUUUAUAUCGACUUGCUCAUUCCAAUUGUGCAGAAAAUGAAGCACAUUGAAGAGAUUUCAUUGAGUCUUUCAAAGUUGGGUUUUGAUGCAGCUCUCUGGAGAAGGGAAAAUCUCUGCCCUGUGAGCAAGGUCUGCAAGCAUGGUACAAGAAUUUGCAAAUGUUUAUGUUGUUAAUAAAUAAUUACUUUUACACUCAUGUCGGUUUCUGUUUUCGGAUAUGUUACCUUAGUAGAGUAGAUUAGACAUAAAGUUCUAGAACAUUAGAGACUCCUCUCUUUUUAAAAAUGAAUUUUU